CCUCCCAUCCUAUUGCUGGCUCUCUGCUCUUUACUGCAACCACAUGUCACUUGGAUACCCCGGAGAGCGGCAGGAAAGCAUCAACCAGCUUCCAGAACAAACACCGUCCUGUCGACACCUUGAUCUUAGCCCCAGAGACCCAUUUCCAACUUCUGACUGCCAGAAAGAUGACAAUUCAUCAUUGAAUCCCCCAAAAGCAUGCAUCAAGGUAGGUACUAUUAGUUUCCUCAUCUUGUCGAUGAGGUCAUUUAAGCACAGAGAGUUUAGGCAAUCUGCUUAAGGUCACACAGCUCUUAGUGGCGUGGCCAGGAUGUGAACCCAGGUUGUCUGGCUCCAAGGGUAAUGUGUGCCUGCUCCCAUUUAUUUUCUUACACUGAGCUUUGCGAGCUCUACAAGAGCCUUGCCUUUCUCAGGCCUGGACAAUCACCUGUGCUGUCUCCACAGGGGGAUUCCUCCCCCCAUACUGCUGGGUCCGUGGACAGCCUCUCAAGCCACCUUAUCACUUAUCCACAGAAAUUUUUUCUCCUUUAAAGAAACCAAGCAUCACCAAAUCAAUAUUGAAACAUAUAUCUGGUUUCCAUUUCUAAGGGAAAACAUAGAAGUAAAGAGGUCAUCGAUCUUUCUUUUUUUUUCCAAUUUUAUAAUGUAACCCAAUAUUUUUAUAGAGAUACAAUUCACAUAACCUUAAAUUCACCCAUUUAAAAUGUACAAUUCAAUGGUUUAAGCAUAUUCACAAGGUUGUGCAACCAUCACCAUCUUCUAAUUUCAGAGAAUCUUCAUCACACCCCAAAAGGAUAUCCUGUUCCCAUUAAGUAGUAACUCCUCAUGAACCCCUUCUCUCAGCCGCUGGAACCACGAAUUUACUUUCUCCCUCUAUGAAUUUGCCUAUUCUGGCAUUCCAUGUAAAUGGAAUCAGACAGAAUGGUGUAGCCACAUCAGGUUUUUCUUCUGUCCUAAGUAAACCUGCCUGGUUGAUAAGUGAACGUUGCACGUUGUUGGGUUGUGCACCACAAGUCUAAUAUUCACCAUUUCUUCCUUCACCCUCCGUUCCAUUGUCAGUUUGCCAUUAUUUUGUGGCUCCCUUUGCGUGGGCAUGUUUGUAAGCUGCUCCAAACCCUUUUUGGAAUUGGGCAAUGCGAGAAUACAUAAAAACAUUGAUUCUCAAAUCAACCAAUAAUGAAAUUGAAUCCUACAAAAUGUGGCUUUUGUGUCUGGCUUGUUUCACCUCCUAGCAUGUUUUCAAGGUUAUUCCAUGUGGCAGCAUUAAUCAGGACAUCAUUCCUUUUUACAACUGAGUGAUAUUCCAUCAUGGGCCAUAACAUGAAUGUGUUUAUCCAUUCACCAUUUGGGUUGCUUCCACCUUUUGGCUAUUGGGAAUAAUGCUGCUAUGAACAUGUAUGCGAUCCGUUUUAUUGUACCUAAUUAGAAGGGAUUCCAGACAAGAUCCAGUGGCUUCCAGAGAGCUCUGCUGGCAUAGAGGCCUGUGAGCAAUUUGCUCUUCUUACACUCCAAGUCUCUGCGGUGAGAUGUCAACACCCCUUUGGAAUGUACCCCAGGGUCCAAGAAGGAGCAGUGGGUUCAUGUGCAGAGACUACAUUGUCCUUUCCCGUAGGGGAAGUGGGAGAAGAUUCUCCAUCUAAAAUACAAAGGGUUUCAUGAAAUGAAGAAACUUAAACUUGCAGAGGGAACCACUCCAAGGAGCCGAGUCUCAUGCUAACCUCUCUUUCAUGGUUAUUUUUGAUGCUAGAUCCACUGAAAUGCAUUAUGCUGCAUUGAUAUAUGGGAUACACAGUUUAUAUGGACUGCACACAUUAAGCAAGAUACAUACAUAUUUUAAAUGUAAUAUGAUAUGUCAUUAUGACUUUUUUUGUUUUCAGGAUUCGCUUUGAAUAAAAUUGUAAAAUACCUCUUAGGAGGGGUUGGGGACAAGUAAAAAAAGUUAUGUCCAAAAGCUCCAGUAAUCAAAGGCUUUGGG
rnacentral:lncRNA from 1 species